AUUGAACGCUGGCGGCAGGCCUAACACAUGCAAGUCGAGCGAGCGGCGGACGGGUGAGUAAUGUCUGGGGAUCUGCCCGAUAGAGGGGGAUAACUACUGGAAACGGUGGCUAAUACCGCAUACUAUCGGAUGAACCCAGAUGGGAUUAGCUAGUAGGUGGGGUAAAGGCGCACCUAGGCGACGAUCUCUAGCUGGUCUGAGAGGAUGACCGGCCACACUGGAACUGAGACACGGCCCAGACUCCUACGGGAGGCAGCAGGGGGGAAGAUGGCACAAUGGGCGCAAGCCUGAUGCAGCCAUGCCGCGUGUAUGAAGAAGGCCUGAGGGUUGUAAAGUACUUUCAGCGGGGAGGCGUUACCCGCAGAAGAAGCACCGGCUAACUCCGUGCCAGCAGCCGCGGUAAUUC
rnacentral:rRNA from 1 species